rnacentral:rRNA from 1 species
UACGUAGGGGGCAAGCGUUGUCCGGAAUCAUUGGGCGUAAAGAGCGUGUAGGCGGCCCGUUAAGUCCGCCGUGAAAGUCCAGGGCUCAACCCUGGAAUGCCGGUGGAAACUGUCGGGCUGGAGUCCGGAAGAGGCGAGUGGAAUUCCUGGUGUAGCGGUGAAAUGCGUAGAUAUCAAGUGGAACACCAGUGGCGAAGGCGAAUCCCUGGAAAAUUCCUGACGCUGAGGCACGAAAGCUAGGGGAGCAAACAGG